rnacentral:rRNA from 1 species
GAUGAACGCUGGCGGCGUGCCUAAUACAUGCAAGUCGAGCGAACCACUUCGGUGGUGAGCGGCGAACGGGUGAGUAACACGUAGGUGAUCUGCCCAUCAGACGGGGACAACGAUUGGAAACGAUCGCUAAUACCGGAUAGGACGAAAGUUUAAAGGUGCUUCUGGCACCGCUGAUGGAUGAGCCUGCGGCGCAUUAGCUAGUUGGUAGGGUAAAGGCCUACCAAGGCGACGAUGCGUAGCCGACCUGAGAGGGUGAACGGCCACACUGGGACUGAGACACGGCCCAGACUCCUACGGGAGGCAGCAGUAGGGAAUCUUCGGCAAUGGGCGAGAGCCUGACCGAGCAACGCCGCGUGAAUGAUGAAGGCCUUCGGGUUGUAAAAUUCUGUUAUAAGGGAAGAACGACUUUAGUAGGAAAUGGCUAGAGUGUGACGGUACCUUAUGAGAAAGCCACGGCUAACUACGUGCCAGCAGCCGCGGUAAU